GUGGGGGGGCCCCAGGGGGGUCCCAGCCUUACGAAGCCGUUGCCCACGAUGCGGUGGGGCUGGGGGGGUCCCGGGGGAGGUGGGGGGCACCAGGGGGGUCCCAGCCUUACGAAGCCGUUGCCCAUGACGCGGUGGGGCUGGGGG